rnacentral:rRNA from 1 species
AGUGAACGCUGGCGGUAGGCCUAACACAUGCAAGUCGAACGGCAGCACAGGAGAGCUUGCUCUCUGGGUGGCGAGUGGCGGAUGGGUGAGGAAUACAUCGGAAUCUACUUUUUCGUGAGGGAUAACGUAGGGAAACUUACGCUAAUACCGCAUACGACCUACGGGUGAAAGCAGGGGACCUUCGGGCCUUGCGCGAUUGAAUGAGCCGAUGUCGGAUUAGCUAGUUGGCGGGGUAAAGGCCCACCAAGGCGACGAUCCGUAGCUGGUCUGAGAGGAUGAUCAGCCACACUGGAACUGAGACACGGUCCAGACUCCUACGGGAGGCAGCAGUGGGGAAUAUUGGACAAUGGGCGCAAGCCUGAUCCAGCCAUACCGCGUGGGUGAAGAGGGCCUUCGGGUUGUAAAGCCCUUUUGUUGGGAAAGAAAUCCAGCUGGCUAAUACCCGGUUGGGAUGACGGUACCCAAAGAAUAAGCACCGGCUAACUUCGUGCCAGCCGCCGCAGUAA